GGCUAGAGAAGAGGGACUUGACUGUUUAUUGUCUAGUCGGUGCACCUGGGCAGUCUUAGUUCUGUCCAGGCAACAGCGCUUCCUCUUCAGAUUCAGGAAAUAUCUCUUCCUGCUUUUUUGGUCAAAUGCCUUGUUUCUGGCUAAUUUCACAUCUCUUACCACAAGAAAAGAUAGCAAUGCUGCUGUUUCUCACAGAUUGCCAUGGCUUUUCUGAACCAAGAAACAACAGAACAAACAACUCUUGUCUGUUCCUAAUUGCAUUUAUUUGAUGCUGGCUGUACCCUUGCUCAUGAUGUUGCAUUCCCACGAUGUCUCGGUGAUGCCACAGUUCCUGUGCUCUGCUGAUGGCACCCACCAGUGCAAGUCGUACUCAGAGUGUGCAGGACUGUGAACGACGGUGUGUUUAUUGGUCAUGUUACAUUUACCAUUAGGAAUUUUACAGCAUCCACCUAGAACAACACAUCCUCCAGUCAUGUUUCGUCCAACUCUUUAAGGCCAUACUCAGCCCAUUUGUAGUGCUCUCUUCAACGUGCUUUCACGUUGACUGCCCUUCUGCCUCCUAGACAUGCCCCCCAGCAGGGAGGGUAGGGCAAGGGCCCGUGAACAGAGAGAGGAGAAUGGCCCCACUUUCAAGGCCUUCAGGUGCUACAGAGCAGAGGCUGUGCCACAGCUGGAACCUGGAUGGGCAAGAGCCAGGGCACAGCAAUGGACCCUCGCUAGCCUGGAGUCCCAAACUUUUCCUGUGUCUGACCAGUGAGUCAUCUAAAAUCAGGGUAUCAGUUCUAUUCUUCUGAACCAAGAGUGCGUGAUUCCAUAAUUAAAUGCCCUAUCAACUAUGGGCCCCCAAAUGAUGCCACAGAUGUGGUCCCAAAGCUCCUUGGGGUGUCUGGUCAACCCCUAGAAUAAGACAGAGGAUCAGAGAAUGCCUAAAGGGAAGGGCGAAGCACAUGAGUGUUCAGUCCCGAGCUUGGGUGUCUGCUGCUGAAUGGUUCUGCAGGCCCUGGCUAGUCCUAGGCACCACAGUCUUAGAAACUUUCAGUAAAGGCGCUUUAGAGUGUGGAGGCCCCUGCGGCUGUGGCCAGUAGGGGAGCCCAGCUUCCUAGCUGGGGGGGUCACGGGUGUUGAUGAGAUCAGGAAGGCGGGGACCUGCUCACAGCCUCAUUGCUCUCAGGGCCUUCUCCCUCGCUCCCUGUUCCUUAAAAGAUCUGCUAGGACACCAAGAAAGGAAAAAAAAAAGGGUGUGCUUGUGUUUUUGUUUAGUAGAGAAGUAUGACAUUGUAGGAACUGCCUCUGUCUUAAGAUCGGUCUUGACUAUUUGCUACAUGUAUGUCUUUGGCUGGGUUACCUGGUUACUUUAUCUAUAAAAUGGGCAUAAGAAUAACACACAUAAAACUCACAAGAUAUUAGCAUAGAUAAUAUGAGGUGAUGUAUGUAAAAAAUAUUUUGCCGAGUGGUAAGGAUUAUCCAAACAUAGGUUUGUGUUUUUUUAGGGUUGUGUUUUUAAAAAAAAGGAUUUGGGUUUUUUAAAUGUUUGCAUUUAAAACAGCCCAGCUGAGUUUUUUGAAUUCACUCUCUGUUGAGUUACAAUUCAGCAUUUAUGCUAUUACAUAAUUUGAAAUGUGUGUCCUGAGUCUAGUAAGAAGUACCAUGGCCCCUACUUUUGUUUCCCUUUACUCUUCUUGGACAGAUCCUUGACUUUGAAUCCCUUAUUCUGGUUUGCUCCAAGCAGUAACCUAUGUGUUUUAUUGUCCUUUAUGGAGAUAAAAUAUGUAUAUAUGAUCAAAUCUAUCAAUCUUGACAAUGAGACACACUCACCUAUAAAACCAAGGUAACUAAAAAGAAAUGAAUGAUGAGUGAGGGCACCCUGGGCACAGCCUCAAAUAUAGCCCUGAACCUGCAGCAGGCAGGAGAGAAGGAGUCCAAAGGACAGAGUUUUCAAGUCAGGGAAGGGGGGAAGCAGCCUCUAAGAUGGCCCGCAACAAUGUCCCCCCUCUUAAUAUUCACAACUUUGUUCAAUCCCCUCUCCUUGAGGGUGGACUAGUCUACUGGCUUGCCCCUAAUGAACAGAGUACAGAAAAGGGGAUGGAAUGUCACCUCUGUAAUUAGACUACCUAAGACCGAAACUUUUCUCUCUCUAAACUUGCUCCCUUUUGGGCUUUGAUAAGGCAAGCGGCCAUGUUGGAGAGGCCCGUGUGGCUAGGAACUGAGGACAGUCAACAGUCUGCAAGAAACGGAGUCCUACUGACAACCUGGAGGUGGUAAAUCCUCUGAUGGGACCCCAGUCCCAGUCAACACUUUGAGUACAGCCAUCUGAGGGACCCUCAAGUAGAAGACCCACCUAUGCAAGUCUGUGAGAAACUGCAGAGAAACAAAUAGGUGUUGCUUCAAGGUGCUAAUCAUUAUUCCUGGAGCUUAGAAAUAUUUCUAAGUUUAUUAGAAGAGUGAAAACUACAUUCUUACAUAGUCUAAUCAUGGAAUUAACAUCCCAUCUCUUUUUCUGCACUCUACUCAUUAGGAACAAGCCAGGAGGCCAGCCCACCUCAAGGGGAGGAGAUUAGACAAGGGUCUGAAUACUAAGAGGUGGGGACUACUGGAGGUGUUCAAGGUGUUAAUUUCCUAUGCAACAAUAGAUACUUAAUGCAUAAAAUAAAACCAAAAGUCUAAGAAUUUGUAAAUAUAAACUUUGAAAACAGUCCCCUACUCAAGAAGACUAGAUCCUUAUUAGCUGUAAAACAGUAUUCUGUUAUAAUAAAUGCUGUCACAAAUACAUUUAGAAAAUUAUCCCAGAAAUUCAUUUAAAAAAUAUUUCUAAGCUCCCAGAAUAAUCAUUUCUCGAUCAAAUAUAUCAACACAUCUAACACGAAUUCACUGUCUGCCUUCCAAACUGAUUCCCCUGCUCAACUCUCUUACUUCUGUCAGAGACAAUAUUAUUCUGAAUUCGCCUUAGAGAAUAUUCAUCUGUCCACUUUGCAGUUGAAGUGAACUGAAAUUCACAAGAGACUGAGCAACUCACCUAAAGCCACACCACUCAUUAAGGGAUUCAGGCAUCUCCUGGAAUGUCUGUAGCUCUGACAUCUUAAAAAUGAAAUUCCAUUAAGGACAAAUGAUGCAAGAUGGCUAAAGCUGACUACAGUGGACAUUAGCUUUAAUACUGUGAAGAUCAGUGGAAGCAUAUUAGUGCAGUACUCUGGAACCCACAGGAUAAAAAGACCCCAGCAUGGAUUCUCUCCACAUAUUCAUGUACCUGCUCUGUGAUGAGACUUAAAUAUCUAGGUUCAUAUGUUACUGCUUUCAUACGUUUUUGGUGUCUGCUGGAUGGAAUUCUCCAAAUAACUUCAAACUCACCAUGUCCAAAGUAUAAUUUAUUAUUUUUGCCAGGCAGAGUUUAAGGGGAACCAGUGGUGUCUUCAUGUAGGUGUAAUUGAGGAGAGCUGAAUAUAAAAAGUUCCAGUAAAGCGUUCUGGAAGCUUACUGACCUUUCCCUGGAAGGUAUAUUCCCCCAAAACAAAAUGAAGAUAUCCACAGGGUGGGCAGAGCUGAAGACGACACGUCCUGUGACUCGAGUUUUCCAGACAACGCUGUCUUCACACAGAUUUGCUGUCUUGGACGUAAGCUGCCCUCAAGUAAACAUACUGGAAAUCCCUUAUUCCUUCUUUAACUUGCUUUGCAGUUUUCCCACAGAUUCUUCUAUAAUAUGUGGUAUCAGAAUUGUUAUUCUGACUUACCCUGUAGCAAAUGCAGGCUAAUGCUGUAUUUAUGUUAUUUCUUACAGCCAUACCAUAACUGUAUGUUAAUUGUGGUUCUUUUUGUUUAUUCUGUAUUCUUAUCAUUAUUUUGUAUGAAAUAUGGUUCUUAGCAUUUUCUACGAAGCUCGUAACAGCCUGCAAUGUUAAUGAUUCACAUGACCGUGAUCAAAUCUCUUGAAGAAUAGUCGGUGUUAGCACGACUGCCUUUUCCUCGUUCCAUCUGAACGCUGGAAGUUCAGUACUAAAUAAACACUAGA